GAUGAACGCUAGCGGGAGGCCUAACACAUGCAAGCCGAGCGGUAUUGUUUCUUCGGAAAUGAGAGAGCGGCGUACGGGUGCGGAACACGUGUGCAACCUGCCUUUAUCUGGGGGAUAGCCUUUCGAAAGGAAGAUUAAUACUCCAUAACAUAUUGAUUGGCAUCAAUUAAUAUUGAAAGCUCCGGCGGAUAGAGAUGGGCACGCGCAAGAUUAGCUAGUUGGUGAGGUAACGGCUCACCAAGGCGAUGAUCUUUAGGGGGCCUGAGAGGGUGAUCCCCCACACUGGUACUGAGACACGGACCAGACUCCUACGGGAGGCAGCAGUGAGGAAUAUUGGUCAAUGGGUGCAAGCCUGAACCAGCCAUCCCGCGUGAAGGACGACUGCCCUAUGGGUUGUAAACUUCUUUUGUAUAGGGAUAAACCUACCCUCGUGAGGGUAGCUGAAGGUACUAUACGAAUAAGCACCGGCUAACUCCGUGCCAGCAGCCGCCGUAA
rnacentral:rRNA from 1 species